AUGAACAACUACGCAGCAUGGUCUAAGAUUCAACCUACUGGUGCCUUUUUUGGUAGUGGAACUCAAGGCCUUGGUUUUUACCAUGUGGAUGUCCCUGUUGCUAAUGAAUCUAAGUGGUUAAAUUUCCAGAACUGUGCGGUGGUUAAUAUCUUAAAAGGAGAAGUAGAUUGUGCUAAACUGAUGGAACUACUGUCUGCUACCUUUUGCAAAACUAAACACUGGGCUUGGCAAAUCAGGGGGCUCUCCAGCAAGACCUUUUUGGUCAGACCCCCCCUCUGGAAGAAAGUGGAAGACCUCAUCGAGAUGCCUGGAUUCUCCCUCCCACAAGAUGUGAAUGUGACAUUAACUGAAUGGAAGGGUGGAUGUGAACCUUUUGGAGAGUUGAUUGAAGCCUGGGUACUGAUUGAGGGGAUUCCCCCAAAGUGGUGCACUUGGAAAGUGUUUGCCCAGAUUGCUUCACUAUUUGGGGUGCUUACAGAUGUGGAUUGGAAUGGGAUGUUUAGAACUUUUUUUGAGAAUGUCAGAAUCAAAAUAGCCUGCAGAGAUCCAACCAAGAUCCCUUUUGAGAGACUGAUUGAGAUGAAGAAAAAAGUAUUCCUACUUGGCUUCACUGUUGAGGGGUUUGAACAAACUGGGGGUGCUGACUCUGUCAUUGAUAUAGAUGAGGAUGAUGAUGGUAAUGAGGAGGAUGAGGGAGCUGAAGAAGAAUAA
rnacentral:rRNA from 1 species